rnacentral:rRNA from 1 species
CCUACGGGGGGCAGCAGUGGGGGAUAUUGCACAAUGGGGGAAACCCUGAUGCAGCGACGCCGCGUGAGUGAUGACGUAUUUCGGUAUGUAAAGCUCUAUCAGCAGGGAAAAAAAUGACAGCACCUGACCAAGAAGCCCCGGCUAACUACGUGCCAGCAGCCGCGGUAAUACGGAGGGGGCAAGCGUUAUCCGGAUUUACUGGGUGUAAAGGGAGCGUAGUCGGUUUUGUAAGUCAGGAGUGAAAGCCCGGGGCCCAACCCCGGGACUGCAUUGGAAACUGUGUAACUGGAGUACAGGAGGGGCAGGCGGAAUUCCUGGUGUAGCGGUGAAAUGCGUAGAUAUCAGGAAGAACACCGGCGGCGAAGGCAGCCUGCUGGACUGAAACUGACGUUGAGGCUCGAAAGCGUGUGGAGCAAACAGGAUUAGAUACCCUAGUAGUC